UGAACGCUGGCGGCGUGCCUCAUACAUGCAAGUCGAGCGAACAGACGAGGAGCUUGCUCCUCUGACGUUAGCGGCGGACGGGUGAGUAACACGUGGAUAACCUACCUAUAAGACUGGGAUAACUUCGGGAAACCGGAGCUAAUACCGGAUAAUAUAUUGAACCGCAUGGUUCAAUAGUGAAAGACGGUUUUGCUGUCACUUAUAGAUGGAUCCGCGCCGCAUUAGCUAGUUGGUAAGGUAACGGCUUACCAAGGCAACGAUGCGUAGCCGACCUGAGAGGGUGAACGGCCACACUGGAACUGAGACACGGUCCAGACUCCUACGGGAGGCAGCAGUAGGGAAUCUUCCGCAAUGGGCGAAAGCUUGACGGAGCAACGCCGCGUGAGUGAUGAAGGUCUUCGGAUCGUAAAACUCUGUUAUUAGGGAAGAACAAAUGUGUAAGUAACUAUGCACGUCUUGACGGUACCUAAUCAGAAAGCCACGGCUAACUACGUG
rnacentral:rRNA from 1 species